AUUAACCGAAUUUUGAAAUAACCGAAUUACCGAAAACCGAAUUACCGAAUUAUAAAUUCGGUUAUUUCGGAUAAUAACCGAAAUACUGUUCUAUUUUAUCAAACCAAAAAAGAAUCAGUUCAAAUUGGCAAAAUAAAAAUCCUGCAACAAUAUCAAAAUCAAUAAUACUACACUCCAGAAGAUAGUUCCCUGAUUUUUCAUCAUCUGUUCAAUAAACCCAGAUGUCACCUUUAUAUUGCCUUAUCCAAGCAACAUCCAGCAUCAAAAAAAGCAACUCUCCAGAAUCAGAACCCAUAAAGCAAAUCCACCACCACUACUAUAACUGGAGAACUAUCCCUUUUCACAAAACUAGACAAACCCAGGUGGUAAAACUUCACAAACCAAUGACCCAGGUGAUAAAGCAGCAUACUUAACAGUUACCUGUGCACUAAGAGGAGUGUAAUGAUAUGCUUUCAAAAAUCCUACGAUGAGACUACGAAAACUAGCAAGAUAAGCCAGUGCAAAGAGUGAGAGAUUUGAGGGCAGAUCGAGAUCUGAGAUA
rnacentral:lncRNA from 1 species